rnacentral:ncRNA from 21 species
GUAUUGUGGGGACCACCUCCUAGAGAGGUGUUGGGCAUUAGCCAGCCACGACGGCUUGCACGUGAGAACUAGACCCCUUCGUGCAGACACCAAGCCAGCCGUUCGCAGCCAGCCAGGCCGCUUUUUUCG